UACAGAGGUCUCAAGCGUUGUUCGGAUUCAUUGGGCGUAAAGGGUGCGUAGGUGGCGUGGUAAGUCGGGUGUGAAAUUUCGGAGCUUAACUCCGAAACUGCAUUCGAUACUGCCGUGCUUGAGGACUGGAGAGGAGACUGGAAUUUACGGUGUAGCAGUGAAAUGCGUAGAGAUCGUAAGGAAGACCAGUGGCGAAGGCGGGUCUCUGGAUAGUUCCUGACACUGAGGCACGAAGGCCAGGGGAGCAAACGGG
rnacentral:rRNA from 1 species